rnacentral:rRNA from 1 species
CACCCGUUCCCAUGCCGAACACGGAAGUUAAGCUCUUUAGCGCCGAUGGUAGUUGGGGGUUUCCCCCUGUGAGAGUAGGACGUUGCUAGGC